rnacentral:rRNA from 1 species
UACGGAGGGGGCUAGCGUUGUUCGGAAUUACUGGGCGUAAAGCGCACGUAGGCGGACUGUUAAGUCGGGGGUGAAAUCCUGGGGCUCAACCUCAGAAUUGCCUCCGAUACUGGCAGUCUCGAGUGCGGGAGAGGUGAGUGGAAUUCCCAGUGAUAGAGGUGAAAUUCGUAGAUAUUGGGAAGAACACCAGUGGCGAAGGCGGCUCACUGGCC